rfam:Gammaproteobacteria bacterium SG8_31 WOR_8-12_1706, whole genome shotgun sequence.
GGCUAUGUAGCUCAGCUGGUUAGAGCACGGGACUCAUAAUCUCGGGGUCGGUGGUUCAAGUCCACCCAUAGCCA